rnacentral:rRNA from 1 species
GACCCCAGGUCAGAGCG